rnacentral:rRNA from 1 species
GACAGAGGCCCCAAGCGUUAGGCGGAAUCACUGGGCUUAAAGCGUGUGUAGGCGGACGCCUAAGUGUCUUGUGAAAUCCCACGGCUCACCCGUGGAACUGCUGGGCAUACUGGGCGUCUUGGGCCAACUAGGGGCAGCCGGAACAAGCGGUGGCGCGGUGAAAUGCGUAGAUAUCGCUUGGAACGCCGAAGGUGAAAACAGGCUGCUGGGGUUGCGCCGACGCUGAGACACGAAAGCCAGGGGAGCAAACGGG